AGAUCCAUACGAACAGCGAAGCGUUAUGUUGUACCUCUGAAAGGAAUACCAUGUUUAUGUCAAUUACACCUCAGCAAAAAGGGUGGAGUCACAGUCUGCGCCCCCAGGGCUGCUGUGAGGGUGGGAUGAGGUUUGUACCUUGGACCCUCGCCUGGCCUCCAGGUACGUCUGUUGGUUACCAGCCGGUCACUCUUCUGCUCUCUGGGGACCAGGGCACAGGCCAGGACCUUCGGUUCAGCUCCCAGGCGGCGGGCAGACCCGUGCGGCGGGAGGCAGUGGCCUCCAGGCGAAGUCUGGGACAAUACCGCCACCUGGUGGCUGCUCAGGUACAUCACAGCAGUUAUCUGCAGAAGAAUGUGAACGAUCCUGCUUUCUGGCCCUGGUUUGGGUGGAGAAGAAGCUGUGGUCACGCUGGGACGGGGCCUCCCCACCCCUCAGCUCAUCUUCGUGCUCACUUUUACCCACACGCAGCCAUCUUUCAACAAUGCAACCUGCUUCUGCUCGCUGGCACACCGGAGAAAACCCGGAGGAGCCGGGAUAUGGAGAUGGUUCUACCGUUUCCAUCUUGGAGACAAAUGCUCCUCUCGGCGGAGCUGGCUGCAGCACGUGACGGCUCCGCGACCCGCUCCCCACAAAGACGCACACGCCGCGCCGCGGUCCUCGGGACGGGACGCACGCCUGACCCCCAGCCCGACUCCAUGAUCUCACCGCUCUUUGGUCAGAGCUGGCACAGGUGCCCCCAGCGUGGAUUUCUUCCUUUUUGUUAGAAAAACAUCCCAAGUACUUUGAACCAGGCUGCCCAAUGGGCUCGGCUGACCACGCACAGCGGCGUGCGCCGGGCCUCUAAAUUAGAGGCUGCGACCCAUCUCCUCGCCCCUCCUGGUGGCUCGGCACAGCACAGCCCCUCCCCAAGCCCCCACCUUCUUUAAGCUGAGACACUGAGCAAAAAAUAAAGCACAGCUGAUGGUU